AUUCUGCCCAUGCGGGGAAGGAUGAGAAGCUUCGACUAAGGUUCGGCUCGAGCGUCAGCGAGAGAGCGUUGCCAGGCAACGACCCGAAGGGCGAAGCGCGCAGCGCUGAGUAAUCCUUCCCCCACCACCA
rnacentral:sRNA from 1 species